GUUUAAUUCAAAAUGAGUAAAUGGAUGAAAUUAUAAGCAAGGUCAAUCCUAUACAAUUCUGGUCCUCCAGCUUGGGAGUUAAGGCACAUCACCAGCAACCCAAUACUUGUAAAAGAAAAAUUAUUUAAAGCUUCCAAUAUUUUCAACAAUCCUUGCAAUUUGAUGGAUAAAUGGUAAUCGAAAUUGGUACGAAGACGGACUUUUAGAUUGGUAAUAUGGAAUACACAGAGUAUAACACAAAAACAAAUAGAGAUGAUAGACUGACCGAAAGGCACUGAGGAACUAGAACACUAUUUUUGUAUUUGGUCAGAUGUCCAUAAAUCAAAAAGAGCCGCAAAAGGAGUUGCUGUCCUGAUUAAUAAAAACCAAAUAAAAUGCAUAAAACAUGUUCAAUUGUCUCCUCGUUCUCCGCACAUAGUCAGAAUUCAACAUCGUCGGCUAGACCCAACAAAUUGAUGUAUGUCUUUAAUCGGCAGUGUCCAAUAAAACUGAACUUUAAUGCUGCUACGAGUAAGUCCUAAAAUAUUCCCGGGUUUCAUAGUGGUGGUAUAAAUAACUUAACUUGUCUCAUUCCAGAAGAACCCUUCAGCCCACAGUCCAAUCCUAUGUUUGGCCAUCACAAAUGAUAUAUCAAUUGCUGGCUCUGACCCUACAAACUCUUUAGCUCUGCCCUCUCGUGCUAGCUCAUCUGCUUCAUUGCUAGCAACCCCAGAAUGACCUGGGACCCAGAUAAGAGAAACUUUAUUAUCACAACUCAGUGUGUUUAAAGUUCUUUUACCAGAUCAUUAACCAGAGCCACCUGGAGAGCGGCUUGACUGUCUGAGAAAAAUCGUACUGUCAUUUCUCUCAAGAGAUCAAGGAUUUUAAUACCUAUGUCAAUAGCAAAUACGAGGCUGUAAGCGUGAAUAAUCCGAAGUGUCUGGCUCCUGCCCCGACCCAUUCUGGCGUUUUUGAUUCAUCUGUGAAUAUGCAAAUAUCUGCCUGAAUCAAAGAGUUUUCAUUUUCGAUCCAGGACUGCCGUUCAGGUCGUACAAUCUGACAUCGAGCAUUAAUCAUUGAUAGUGAUCCCGCUAAAUCUGAUGGCAUUGAUAGCACAAUAUCAGUGCUUAUAGUGUCUUCCGCGGUAGGACAUGUCGGAGCAGUUUUGAGCAUAUUGCUUAAACAUAUAGAUGGUAGUUCUAGCCACUUUCUCUAUAUGCAAAUGCAAAUGAGAUAGGAGAAGCAGAACAUUCAUUGCAGGGGUUGGCUUUGUGCUUAUCGCACUAGAGAUUUCCUGAUAACUGAAGUCUGUCGGAUUUUCCUAUACCAGGCUGCUGCUCCGCAUGUGAUCAUUGGUCACAUAGAGCUAGUACAAAGACUACGACAAAUCCACAAGGAUGUGUAAAACUCCAAAGUUCUAAAUUAAUCAUACUUAUGAAUGAUUUUCUAACAGCAAACUGACUUUUAAAACCAAGUUUUUAAUAUAAUUUCGCCCCAAACCACUUACGGUAAGAUCCUUAGGGAUUUGACGACGUAGGAAUGAAUGAUUUCUUCUUGUUAGUUUCGAUCGAUUUACAUUUCGUAGUGCUUUGUUAACUUUACCUAUCUUCUUUUAAUUCCGCACUACGUAUUGUGUAGUAGAGGUGCUGCGCUUCAUUAUUUUUAUGAUUUUAAGUAAAGAUUUUCAUUUUAUAUGAAAUAUCACUUUCUACCCACUUCGAAUUUUCUUAUUUUUUGAAACAACCAAUGCUUAAAAUCUUGUAUAACUGCAAUUAUCUACACAAAAAUACAAUCUUGCGACCUGUUCGAAUACGAUUUUUGCUGUCAACUGUUAAUAAAAUGCUUUUUCUCGCACAA